UGGGGAAUCAUAGACAAUGGGGGAAACCCUGAUCCAGCCAUGCCGCGUGAGUGAUGAAGGCCCUAGGGUUGUAAAGCUCUUUUACCCGCGAAGAUAAUGACGGUAGCGGGAGAAUAAGCUCCGGCUAACUCCGUGCCAGCAGCCGCGGUAAUACGGAGGGAGCUAGCGUUGUUCGGAAUUACUGGGCGUAAAGCGCGCGUAGGCGGCUAUUUAAGUCAGAGGUGAAAGCCCGGGGCUCAACCCCGGAACUGCCUUUGAAACUAGAUAGCUAGAAUCCUGGAGAGGUGAGUGGAAUUCCGAGUGUAGAGGUGAAAUUCGUAGAUAUUCGGAAGAACACCAGUGGCGAAGGCGACUCACUGGACAGGUAUUGACGCUGAGGUGCGAAAGCGUGGGGAGCAAACAGGAUUAGAUACCCCGGUAGUCC
rnacentral:rRNA from 1 species